AGAACCUGGCGGCGUGCUGAGACAUGCAAGUCGUGGGAGAAUUUCGUAGCAAUACGGAUAGUAAACCGGCGCACGGGUGAGUAACACGUGGGCAACCUGCCUUGUAGCCUGGGAUAACCCGUCGAAAGACGGACUAAUACCAGAUAAGACCACGGGAAGGUCGCUUCCUGGGGUAAAAGAUGGCCUCUGCUCCUGCAAGCUAUUACUACGAGAUGGGCCCGCGUCCUAUCAGCUUGUUGGUGAGGUAAUGGCUCACCAAGGCGAAGACGGGUAGCUGGUCUGAGAGGAUGGUCAGCCACACUGGGACUGAGACACGGCCCAGAGUCCUACGGGAUGCAGCAGUCAGGAAUAUUGCGCAAUGGAGGAAACUCUGACGCAGCGACGCCGCGUGGGUGAUGAAGGCCUUCGGGUCGUAAAGCCCUGUCGGGAGGGAAGAAACGCCUCAUGGCUAAUAUCCAUGAAGUCUUUGACGGUACC
rnacentral:rRNA from 1 species